CCGGUCACGGUGCAGGUGGGCCAGUAGAUAGGUACAGUCCAGAGGGAAGUGUCUCUAGUUACGGCUCUAGCUCCCUGAACAUCCGGAGACCCACUCAGAACUCCCAGCAGCCUCGUCAACCCAACCCCAAUGCAAAAGAUUCCUUCCAGACCAAAACUGGCAUGUGGGAUUUUGUUUCACCCGAGAAUGGAAAAAGAUUUGAGUCUGGUAUUGCUUCAAGUCGAGGAAUUGUUAUGCAAGCUGGUCCUCAGCCCCCUGCAGAGCCCCAGCCUUCAGUCUACCAGCCCCAGAGGCCCAGCUACCAGCCUUCAGUCUACCAGCCCCAGAGGCCCAGCUACCAGCCUUCAGUCUACCAGCCCCAGGAGCAAAUUCGGAAACCCAAGCAAAACUCUCAUCCACCUCCUCAAUCCAACCCCAAUGCAAAAGAUUCCUUCCAGACCAAAGCUGGCAUGUGGGAUUUUGUCUCACCCAAGAAUGAGAAAAUUGAGUCUGGUGUUUCUUCAAGUAGGGGACUUAUGCAAGCUGGUCCUCAGCCGUCAGUCUACCAGCCCCAGUUCGUGGGGAUUGAAAUGAAACCUGCCGUAUGGGAGUUCUUUUCUCCCGAUGGAACGGUUUCCGAUCUGAAUUUGCAGACCGGCUCCCCGUCCAAGCACCAGCAAGUGGGGAUUCAAAUACGACCUGCCGUGUGGGAGUUAUUUUCUCCCGAUAGAGUUUCUGGGCCUACCAACCUAAACAUACAAAUGACUGUUCCUCCAAGAACAAGAGAAGUUCCAUUGGCAUCCCCACACCGGCCCAGGUGGCAGCGGUCACUGGUUCCUGUGUAAAACUGCAACCAUUGACUUGAAGGAUCUCCGCUGUUCCUGACUACAUUCUGUAAGCGGUCUGUCCUGGCAACCCUUUUUAUUAAAUUUAAUAAAGUACUUGGAACUGAAA